rnacentral:rRNA from 1 species
GCGGCGGACGGGUGCGUUUACGUGGGCAACCUGCCCUGCAGACUGGGAUAACUUCGGGAAACCGGAGCUAAUACCGGAUAACACCGAAAACCGCAUGGUUUUCGGUUGAAAGGCGGCUUUUAGCUGUCACUGCAGGAUGGGCCCGCGGCGCAUUAGCUAGUUGGUGAGGUAACGGCUCACCAAGGCGACGAUGCGUAGCCGACCUGAGAGGGUGACCGGCCACACUGGGACUGAGACACGGCCCACACUCCUACGGGAGGCAGCAGUAGGGAAUCUUCCGCAAUGGACGAAAAGUCUGACGGAGCAACGCCGCGUGAGCGAAGAAGGUCUUCGGAUCGUAAAGCUCUGUUGUCAGGGAAGAACAAGUGCCGUUCGAACAGGGCGGUACCUUGACGGUACCUGACGAGGAAGCCACGGCUAACUACGUGCCAGCAGCCGCGGUAAUAC